AGUGAUAUAGCUCAGUGGUAGAGUGUGUGCUUAGCACGCACGAGGUCCUGGAUUCAAUCGCCAGUACCUCCA
rnacentral:tRNA from 1 species